rnacentral:rRNA from 1 species
CCUANGGGGGGCUGCAGUCGAGAAUUUUUCACAAUGGGGGAAACCCUGAUGGAGCGACGCCGCGUGGGGGAUGAAGGGCUUCGGCUCGUAAACCCCUGUCAUUUGUGACCAAGGUCGCCGGUUGAAUAGACUGGCGGCUUGAUGGUAGCGAAAGAGGAAGGGACGGCUAACUCUGUGCCAGCAGCCGCGGUAAUACAGAGGUCCCAAGCGUUGUUCGGAUUCACUGGGCGUAAAGGGUGCGUAGGUGGUCAAGUAAGUCUGAUGUGAAAUCUUCGAGCUUAACUCGGAAACUGCAUCGGAAACUACUUGGCUAGAGGAUUGGAGGGGAGACUGGAAUUCUCGGUGUAGCAGUGAAAUGCGUAGAUAUCGAGAGGAACACCAGUGGCGAAGGCGAGUCUCUGGACAAUUCCUGACACUGAGGCACGAAAGCUAGGGGAGCAAACAGGAUUAGAUACCCUUNUANUC